UACGUAGGUCCCGAGCGUUGUCCGGAUUUAUUGGGCGUAAAGCGAGCGCAGGUGGUUUAUUAAGUCUGGUGUAAAAGGCAGUGGCUCAACCAUUGUAUGCAUUGGAAACUGGUAGACUUGAGUGCAGGAGAGGAGAGUGGAAUUCCAUGUGUAGCGGUGAAAUGCGUAGAUAUUAGGAGGAACACCAGUGGCGAAGGCGACUUUCUGGACAGUAACUGACGUUGAGGCACGAAAGUGUGGGGAGCAAACAGG
rnacentral:rRNA from 1 species